GGCCCGGGAGGCAGCGCCUCCUUUUUGCCCCUUGUGCUAGGAUCCCCCUGGCAGGAGGGCGGCUGGUUCCCUGCUCCCAGGCCUGCUCCCCAGUGGCUGGAGCCGGCCUUACCUGCCCUUGCAUCGCUCCAUAGGCAGGAGACAGGCUCAACCUGCAGGGGAAGGCCUCGGAGGCUAGGGAUUUGCAAGCAGGGGGAGAGGAGGGGAAGAAAAGGCCUCUGAUUUUCCUGGUCUGUGCUCCUCUCUUCUGGGUAGGAGCUGGGGGGGACUUCUGCUUGCCCUUGGGUUGAAGUCAGGAUUAGAAGAUAUCACUGGGCCAGAGGUGUGUGCACAUUACUGAAGGCAUGCAGUGUUCCCCGCCAGGCCUGCAGUUCACAGGACCCCGGUGCCAGGAAAAGGGACACAAUUAGAGUUCAUUUCCCUUGGCCUUUUUUGGGAGGGUGGGGGAGGGGUUACCAACUUUUUUUUUUUCUUUUAAGGAAAAGCCCCUGGAAAAACCUGGGAUUUUAACCACUUUGUUGUUGCAAUGAACUCCUAAGUGAACCCGGGGCUGGAGCUAAUCAGGCUGAGUGCAAGAAGGCAAAGGACUCGGGGCAGAAUAUUUGGUAGAAAGUCAGAGCUGGUAUUUUGCACAUAAAGCCUGGUAGCCGGGCAGAUUUGGUGCUGGGGCUGAAAGCUUGUGGCAUUCACACAAUGAGGCUGGAGCCCAAACCAAAGUGAGAGCAAGAAAUACUAUCAGCCAGAGGAUGAAAUGGACAGUAUUGCAGGAACCCUUUGUAUUCUUGGCCUUUAGAGGAACCCUUCGUCACUGGGAGUGUUUUGUGGGUUAGAGAAUAAAUUAAUAAUUAUACCCAUCGAGUGAUCUGGCCUAUCUGCCUCUCCAUCUCUCCAUCCAUUUUCCUAAGACCCUUUGCAUUAGUUCAGCCGACUCUCAGGGGUUUCCAUGCUCACCGACUUCAGUUCCAAGAUUUCUUUCUUUCUGCCUUUCCCCACAUGUGCAGAAAAAAAAAAUAGCAAAAACCCAAGGCGUUCCAGUGGCAUCCCUGUGCUGCCAAGAGACACUGACAGGGCAGGGACCAUUUAAAAUUUAAGCCGGGGUGUCUCUUGGCUGUUCCCAAGUUUAAGGGGCUCUGACUUCACAGGGUAUAACUAUAGCUGAAAAAUAAAGGAUGUGUGUCUGAAUAUGGAAUGGAUCAAGAAGAUAAAUUGCAUAAAAUCAGAACCAGUCCAAUCCCACACUUGCUAUUUGUUAUAUAGAGAAGAAGUAAAUGGAAUUCACAUGUCGAGUAUUAACUGGUUGUUAGUCUGUAAGAUAAUAUUAACUUUAGUGCUUUAUGGUUUACUCCAGUUUUCCAAAGGCAGCUCCAGGACGGAUCCAGCCUGUAAUUUAGGAUGGCACAUACUGUGCGAAUGAGGCUUUGGCACAAGGGCCUACCCAACACAUCAAGGUAAACCACAGCAAGCUUUCAAGAGCUACCAUUAUACUUCUUCAUCAAGGACUUCAAAGGAGCUUGUGAAAACUAAAAUGCAGAAUACCCUGGGGAGAAAUAUCAGCUCUUGGAGAAAAAUGUCACUUUGCAGAUAGUUGAAACCAUGAUUUAGCCCAAUUUUUAGGGAGGAAUGCUAGGAGAUCCAAAGAGGUGAAGGAACUUGCCAAAGGUCAGUUAGCAAGUCAGUGGCAGAGCUGGAGCACAGAUACAUUGACUCAAUGGGGAACACCCCUUAACUUCAAGGAUUACAUACAAAGCUUUAAGUCUCUAACAGUUCAUUGUGGGAGAAAUAGUAGGCUUCUGAAGUCAAAGGGAACCUUGACUUUAACUUCAGGAAAGCAGGAUUUCACCCACAGAAAUUAAAAUAAAGUAUGGUUCUGCUGAUGAAGGCACGGGCCCCUGGCUGAUCUGUGCUACAGAGUCAGCACGUGGCUAGAAUCACACAUGGCUUUAGGACUGCAUCGCUGAAUGUUGUAGUGCCUGUCUUUUACGUGCCUGGCAUGCUUCCAUGCAAUGGACAGAGCCCUGCAGAUGCAUACUAGGCAUACCCUGAACAUGUCUAAUGGCGAUGUCAGCUGGGGCACACUUAGUUUAUUGAGGCCAAGGGGUUUAGACAUGAGAUAGGUGCUGAACUGCUCAGCACCAAUGGAGACAUUUCUAGCAUUUCUAGAAUCAGGAUGUUAGAGAGAACUUUACUAGUGAAAAGCUAGAGGAGAAGUGGAGGCUCUCAGGAGUGCACUUUUGGAUUUAGGCAUCUAAAUGCUUUAAGUUUUAUUUUUGGUGCCUGAGUUCCUUCGUAGCUCUAGCCCUUCUUACCCGCUCCAAAAUCCUUAUGAAGCCAGUAAGAGUCUGUGCCUUUGAUUCUUGCAUUUGCAAAAUGGGAAAAAUGGAAAGUCUUCCAUGGAGGUGAAAAUUCACACUUGUAAAACACAGAUAUGGAUGGCACUAAGUGCAAAACUACUGGAAAUGAAUGCAGAACUAUGGUCUGCUGUUGAAGCCAGACAUAAUUUCAGACCAGUCAGUGAAAGGCUGCCGAGUCAAAAGGGCAGCAAGCCAAAUAUUUUCCAUUUUCCCCCCAAAACAAAACACAAUACAAUUAUUUUGUAUUACAGCAGCACAAUUAUGAUUACAAAAGCCAAGUGUACCCAGCCAGCAAACAAAACCCAUGCAAUGGCUUGUUUUAAUCAUUACAUUCAUUACAAUCAGAUUUCUCUUCAGAGUUCCCCUUGUUUUCCAGCAUAUUGAAGAAACAUGUUUUUAGCACUUGUUCUUUCCUGUAUUGUUUGCCUCCUCCAUCAGCAUUGCCCUAAUAGAGUGGAUGAGAGGCCACAGUCAUGUUUUGAAAUGCCCAAUAGAUUGUAGAAUUACUAAAGUACAAUUAGCCCAAAAGAAGCAAUUUAUAAAUCAAAGGAACUUACUUUUAAUCACAGACCGUUCUGUUUAGAGACCAAAGAGGAAAGAAAGCCUGGAGAAAGGUAGAGAAAAGAAUCGAGUUUGCCGAAGAAAUCCACGAUACUUUCUAAAUAGACUGGAGUGGGUUGUGAAGAUUCAAAGCUGAAUUUUUCCCCAAGUACCAAACCUGCAGUCUUACUAACCCGAACAUCCCAAUCACUUCACUGGGAGUUUGCUGGAGUAGGGUGUGCCUGUAGGGUCAGUAAAUUCAUACUAUUUCCGAUUGCUCACUGCUGCAGUAAUGAAGCAAUACAAUAAAUGUCAAAGACUGGAUGAUACUUUUCCUUUACAUUUGAGUGUUUUUUAGAUCGGUAGGGUGCAAUCUUAAAGUGCAUGGGGAUGUCACUCACUGUUUUAAAAAAGAUGGUCUGAGGACAUCUUUGAUGUCUGGAUUUUUUUUUUUUUAAAUAAAAAGCCCUCCUGAGACACAAAGUAA